rnacentral:misc_RNA from 1 species
AAGGUUGUAGUUGUUGAAGUAGCAGAACUUUGUGUUUGUUGAAUCACACCUUGGACACUUUAAUCCAGCUUCCGGUAGUGGAAUCUUAGCUAAACGGGCUCGAUCCACCAUAGAACCUGGUCUGAUUGAGCCCGGACUAGCCCCCACCUGCAUAGGUGGUGGGGGCUGCACAGUUGGAAGCUCCAGCCCAGUAUUUCCUUG